GACGAACGCUGGCGGCGUGCCUAAUACAUGCAAGUAGAACGCUGAAGGAGGAGCUUGCUUCUCUGGAUGAGUUGCGAACGGGUGAGUAACGCGUAGGAAACCUGCCUGGUAGCGGGGGAUAACUAUUGGAAACGAUAGCUAAUACCGCAUAAGAGUAGAUGUUGCAUGACAUUUGCUUAAAAGGUGCAAUUGCAUCACUACCAGAUGGACCUGCGUUGUAUUAGCUAGUUGGUGGGGUAACGGCUCACCAAGGCGACGAUACAUAGCCGACCUGAGAGGGUGAUCGGCCACACUGGGACUGAGACACGGCCCAGACUCCUACGGGAGGCAGCAGUAGGGAAUCUUCGGCAAUGGACGGAAGUCUGACCGAGCAACGCCGCGUGAGUGAAGAAGGUUUUCGGAUCGUAAAGCUCUGUUGUAAGAGAAGAACGAGUGUGAGAGUGGAAAGUUCACACUGUGACGGUAUCUUACCAGAAAGGGACGGCUAACUACGUG
rnacentral:rRNA from 1 species